UUUUUAUCAUUUAUGUGUUUGUCUAUAACUAUGUAUGUAUGUUUUGAAGUGUUCAUGGGUAUGGCGUGGUAUUUAUAUUUGUAUAUUUAUUUGUAUUUAGAUGCAGUUGAUAUAAUCAACUGGUGCAGUCAGUCCGCGCCCCAGUACUAACCACAGGGGCGUUUGUUCUGACUUAUACUCCUCCAAUAAAUCCUUGAAACUCAAACCCGACCCGUGUGUCAUGAUUGAACACCCCCGGUUACAAAUGGAGCCCCCAGUGAGGAUUUUGCAGUGAGUGA